AUCAUGCACUUGAAGCCUUUGUUCUAACAAAUGGCAUGCAAUUGCCUCAAUUCCAAAUGGGGCGAGGGGCAAGGCAAGGAAUAUCCCCCAUCGCCCUUACUUUUUUCACUACUACUUGAGCCACUGGCUGAAACCAUUCAAACCUAUGUAAUGUUACUCUUAAGAUAGCUCUUUAUGCGGAUGACAUUUUACUAUUUAUUUCAGAACCUGAAACUUCUAUUCCUGCUCUUAUAGCUCAAAUUAACCUGUUUAGUUUAUUUUCUGGGUAUAAAUUUUAACAAAUCUGAAGCAAUGCCCGUAGGGUGUUUUGGGGAAUUAGUUGCUUUGAGAUUUUACGUUUAGUUGGGCAACUACUGGAUUUUAUUAUCUUGGAGCACAUAUAUCUACUAAACUUGAAAAUCUGUAUAGGUUGAAUUUUUCACCAAUGAUGAGGGCAGAUAAGGAUGAUCUUGACUGUUGGAUGCACUUACAAAUUUUUUGGGUAGGAACGAUUAACCUUAUAAAAAUUAAUUAUUUACCAAGACUUUCAUGUCCUCUUAAAACGCUCCCGUUGUAUUUAACUAAAGAAUUAGUAGAUGAUUUAAGUAAACAUUUCUCAAAGUUUGUCGGCCAUAAAAAAAGACCUUCACUUAAAAUACAGAAAUUACAUUUACCAUAUGAUAGAGGAGACCUGGCCCUACCAAAUUUAAUUUCUUACAAUUGGUCCCACCACAUACAGAUUAUAUUUGAAUGUAUAAAGAUCCAGGCUCUACCUAGGUUGGUUUAGAUUUAUGGUGUACUAUACCUUAUUCCUUCACUAGUAUAUUGACCGGCGACAAAAAACUAGCCUUCCAGGAAACUAAACAUAAUCCUGUCCUCCAUAGUAUAUUUAAGGUUUGGAGAGAUAUUCAUAAUUUCCUUUGUAGAUUAUCCUUUUCUUCAUCAAGCAUACCUUUCCUGAAGAAUAGAGCACCCGCUGCAGGUUUAACUGCUAGUUGUUUUCAUCUUUGGCAUAAAAAAUGGGUGCGAUUUAUUUCUGACUUAUUUGAUGAAAAUGGUCUAGGGCUGUCACGAUUCUUUGAUUAUCUUGAAUUACUCAGUUGCAUCCGUUUAAGUUUCAUUUAUCUGCUGGAAGUUCAUUCAUCAUGCUGGCACAGGCAUAGAGUUCUGAGGUCAGCCCUGGGAAAAAAAGGGCAAAUGAUUUCAAAAGUCUAGGAACAUUUCAUACUCGAAGCGACAGAAAAUAUUCUUUCCACAACAGCACAACAUUAGUGCUGCAACAUGUAAAGAGAAAGCAUCCAUUGACGGAAGCAACAGACUCUGAUACCGAGAGUAAACCACGGAGUACCAUGGACAAGUUGCAGCGAGUUGGGCCAUGUUCACCUCAGCAAGCAAAAAAAUUCACAGAUAGCAUUAUGUACAUGCUUAUCACAGAUAUGGGUUACAUAAUUCCGUCAAGGUCACAUGACUACCAAAAUUGAAAAAUAAUUAGUCUUUCCUUAAUAUUAAUACACCCAGCUCUGCCUCAAGAACCUUAAUAUAUUUUAUAAUGUAUUUGUUACGUGCCAUGUGUUUUAUUUUGUGUGGACUUCCCUGCCUUCACCUGCCAUCAUCUUCGUUGGCUGCGCCGCCUGUCAAUCACCAUCCACCAAGUCCCACCUUCACCAAUCCCCACCCUCCGUGUCAAUUCUGGAUCAACCAAUCAGAACUCGCCACCUCUGCUAUAUAAACCUUGAUUGUUUGCCAUGAUGGAUGUCUGACUUUUUGCUCUGUGUUGUGUUAGUAUUUGACUGUAUGUUAAUCACUCAUUUGAACUUGUCUUGUUUUUGUGUACACUUCCAAGGCUUGGGACAGGUAAGACUGGGGGCUCCUGUACAUAUGCCCGUAGGCUAUGUUGUGUAUAGAUCCACUAGUCCUUAGGGGUGAUUGCCAACCAAUUGUUUUUUCAGUCUGCUAGUUAGACUAGAUAGGCCUUUUGUUUGUGUACUUGAUACACUAGAUUAAAUUACACUCUGGUUUAGCUAGCUUGUUUUUCUGUUCAUUUGGCAACACCCAGCGUCCUUUGACCCUGGUAGUGUGUGUCUGGGUUGUUGUAUGUCCUGUAGUAGUUUGUUGCACCUUUUGUUUUGUUCACAUAGUAAAACACUCAUGCACUGAGUUGCUGCUUUUGUCUGUGUUUGAUUUAUUGUUGUUACCAUCAUUUAUACAGCAUUAACAUCCCCCGGCAUUCUUAACAUCUAGUUACCCCAUGCACCCCUAGACCCAUGGGGUCGUAACAGUAUUUUAUUCUUCAAAAGAGCCAUUCAUUUUCUGUUAGUUGUGUAAGUCACUCUGGAUGAGAGUGUCUGCUAAAUGCCUGUAAUGUAAUGUUUUGUUAUGUUCUGUGUUAAUAUUUUAUUUGGCUAGCCCUUUUGUGGUAUGAGCAUUGCAGUGCAGUCAGUCUUGUACUGUAUGCUGUCUGUUAUAUUGUUUCCAAUAUAAAAUAAAAAAGAUACCAAUAUAAA